GCGCUAGCAGGCGGAGAAAACUUCACACUGUGCGAAAGCACGAUGAGGGAAUCCCAAGUGCUUGCACGUAAGUGUAAGCUGUUUCUCUGUCUAAAACGCAGAGAGAGUAAGGGCUGGGUAAGACGGGUGCCAGCCGCCGCGGUAAUACCUGCAGCUCAAGUGGUGAACCGUUAUUAUUGGGCCUAAAACGUCCGUUAGCCGGUUUAAUAAAUGCCUGGGUAAAUCGUGUAGCUUAACUAUACGAAUUCCGGGUAGACUGUUAAACUCGAGACCGGGGAGAAGUUAGAGGUACCCCCUGGGGUAGAGGUGAAAUUCUGUAAUCCUA
rnacentral:rRNA from 1 species